AAUACAUGCAAGUCGAACGCGCGGAUCAGGAGCUUGCUCCUGUGACGCGAGUGGCGGACGGGUGAGUAACACGUAGGCAACCUGCCCAUCAGACUGGGAUAACCACGGGAAACCGUGGCUAAUACCGGAUAAUCCUUUUCCACACAGGUGGGAAAGUUGAAAGGCGGCCUUUUGGCUGUCACUGAUGGAUGGGCCUGCGGCGCAUUAGCUGGUUGGUGGGGUAACGGCCCACCAAGGCGACGAUGCGUAGCCGACCUGAGAGGGUGAUCGGCCACACUGGGACUGAGACACGGCCCAGACUCCUACGGGAGGCAGCAGUAGGGAAUCUUCCGCAAUGGACGAAAGUCUGACGGAGCAACGCCGCGUGAGUGAAGAAGGGUUUCGGCUCGUAAAACUCUGUUGUCAGGGAAGAACGCCGACGGGAGUAACUGCCCGUCGGGUGACGGUACCUGACCAGAAAGCCACGGCUAACUACGUGCCAGCAGCCGCGGUAAUACGUAGGUGGCAAGCGUUAUCCGGAAUUAUUGGGCGUAAAGCGCGCGUAGGCGGUUCGUUAAGUCUGAUGUGAAAGCCCCCGGCUCAACCGGGGAGGGUCAUUGGAAACUGGCGGACUUGAGUGCAGAAGAGGAGAGUGGAAUUCCAUGUGUAGCGGUGAAAUGCGCAGAGAUAUGGAGGAACACCAGUGGCGAAGGCGGCUCUCUGGUCUGCAACUGACGCUGAGGUGCGAAAGCGUGGGGAUCAAACAGGAUUAGAUACCCUGGUAGUCCACGCCGUAAACGAUGAGUGCUAAGUGUUAGGGG
rnacentral:rRNA from 1 species